UUUUUUUUGUUUUUCGGUGGCUCUUUUACGUAGUGCAACAUUUUGUUUGGCUGCUGGACUUGCUGAAACAUCUGAGAAACAAAAAUGGCGCCAGGGAUUAGCAUCAGAUCGAGGAUGGACAUAAAGAGGAAUCGCUACAGUGAGGAUCUGCUGUACUCAUUACUGAGGAAAGGAGAACUGAUGCAGAGCUGCUUCAGGAUUUCAACCUUUUCCUUAGAGGAAGUUCACCACCUGGAUGAGUUGGGCAUCCCCGCCGAUAAGAGUCAACAAAAAGUUUCCUACAAACUACUUGUCAGGAAUACUACGUGGGUUAAAAAGAAAUGGAGAUGCUGAUCAUCAGUUUUUCUCGAGAUGGAGACUAUGAAGUCACCAGAUGUUAACAUCAUGGUCGCCACUGGAGUCAGCAACUCAAGUUCAAGGAAAUUGGUAACAGAAACAAGCACAACAAAGUGACUGAAAUGAUCCACCCUCAUUGACCAGUUCAGGAAAACCAAGGUAGGAUAAAUGAAAGGUAGGUGUUCAAUCUCAGGCGCAGCAGCCAGAGCAGAUCUGAUAUAUUCUCUGUGGACAGAUACUGUAUGUGUAUGUAAUCCAUUAUAGAUGGACACAUGAAGGGAGUCGACAACAAUAAUAAAAAUAUAUAU